GUGGAGGUGUCCGGGAGAGGCUGAGGGGGUGGGGUGUGUUGCACUUCCAGUGCCCUCCUCUAGGUGGAAGCAGGAACCAGAGAAAAGGCCUUGGGGUGUCCCCAGUGGACUGUGAGCUUCAGGUUCUUAGUGACACCGCAGCACGUUGCUCAGAACAGGCCAGGUCAAGGAGAUCAGGCAGGGGGGCUUCUGGGACUGGGGAGACGUUUGGGGUCAAUUCUUCAGGGGUCAGGGGGCCAGAGAGAAAGAGUGAGGUCAUGAGGCGUGUUUUCCAUUUCUAGUGAAAUGAACAGACAUCCACUGUCCCUUUCAGGACAGAAAGAUUCUCCUUGCUCCCAGGUCUGACCUUUGUGCCUCACUCACCCACGGUUGGCAGAGUAGACAAGAGGCUCCGUGAUGUCACAGAGCUGGGAACCAGGGAAUGUUGAGGACAGGAGAGGGGGUGGUCUGGACUGGACCACAAAGUCAGGUAGAAGGUGCUAUGCUGACCCUUUCCCAUUGUUGUUGUUGAUCAUGCGGGAUAAGGAGGAGCCUAGGCUGAUGUCUGGGUCUAACUUUCCCAUCUGUGGCUGUGAAAUUAAGGACUUCUUAAAGAGGAGCAAAUUUGAGAUCAGAGCCACCCAAGACAAACACCUCAGUGAAGCUCACCUUAGCCCAGCCAGCCCCACGCUCCUCGCAGCAAGCUGGAGACCUGGCGGUGUGGUUCAAAGGUAGUAAGAUGGAGAGAGGAUGGUAUAGAUUCUACACAAGUCUAAACUCUGAGAACAGCACCCAGCACAGAAGACAAAUGUUCCUGCUCAAGCCAGCAGGUUGAGUCUUCUUUUCUUCUGCUUUCCUGUUUUAUUCAAGCUCCUGACAGACUGGGUGAGACCCACCCACA
rnacentral:lncRNA from 1 species